UAAUAACUUUUUUUUUUUUUCAAAAAAUGGUUUUUUUAAUAUUUCUCCCUAACUAAUUUUAAAGGAAAGCAACAGAAAAAUGAAAGAGGAGAAGAAGAAAAGAACCACAAGUCAGAUCAACAGAAGGGAUUCAAAAAUACAAGAAUAGAUCAAAGAAGUCAUGGGUUGAUCCACAGGCGCGUGUUUGGGACCAAGGAGAGAAAAGAAGAAAAGAGGUCGUGAGGAGAGAAAGAAGAGAAAGGGGGGAAGUUGUGUCAUUUUUCAUUAGCGUCUCUUAGAGUGUGCUUCCCUUUUAAAUGGUGUGGAGUGUGAUUUGCACACAGCAUUCUGGAACCCUUCAUGCUUCCAUCUAACAAGACCAUUUUUAUGCUUAGCCAAAG
rnacentral:lncRNA from 1 species